UGCUGUGGCCUGACCUAAAGACCCCAAAUCCUGUCUGAUCUUGGCAGCUAAGCAGGAUCAGUCCUGAUUAAGGCUUGGGUGGGAGACCACCAAUGAAUAUCAGGUGCUGUAGGCA
rnacentral:rRNA from 1 species